rnacentral:misc_RNA from 1 species
AACCUAGCACACCUGCGGUGUGUACCUGCGGAAGGAUCAUAACUGGUUAAACUUUAUAAACACCAGAGUUUCAAACUCUGUGUUUGCAAACAAAAAAACACCCUUCAAAACAGCUAUUCAGUGUCUGAAUUAACUAGUUUAAUAUAAAAACAACUUUCAACAACGGAUCU